UGAUAAAUAUAAAUAGAAAAGAAAAUAGAAGGAGAGAGCUGUGUUUUAAGAGUGAAAAACUGACGGGAGAAGAGAAGAAAAAGGGAAGAAGAAGAAGAGAAAAGAGGAAAAGAUAAAGGAAGGAGAAGAGAGUUGGAGGAAAAUAAGUUUAAAGGUUCUUAGUUUUUGAUAGCAAGUGGACUUUGUUGAGUGUUUCUGCUUCUUCAGUUUUUGAUCGGUAUGCUUUGCUUAUUUUGCAAGGCUUUUUCCUUUUGUUUUGAUUCGAUGUCUUAGGCGCUCCACUGUUACCUUAUGUUAAUUAAGUUUGGAUUUUGACAAUGUAAUGAGUAUUAUGGAUUAUUGUUUUUGUUUUAAUUACUGAUGAGGAGUUUUAAACUAUUUUUUGGUUUCAUCAGUUUUGAAUAAUAUAAUAUUUCUGAAGAUUAUGAAA